UAAAGUAGUAGGAGGGUGAUGUGUCCAGAGACGCCGUGGAAGCUCUUCUCCCCCUGCAUCAUGCCUUCCUCCAUGCAUCUAUUUCACAUGGCUGUUCCUGAGUUAUAUCCUUUAUGAUAGACCGCAAUUAUAAUUUCUGAUGGUCCGACGAUGAAGGGUAUUUCUGGCUUAGCAUCUCUCGUGAGUUUCCGCAAGGCCUUUAGCUUGGACUGCAGUCAUCUGAAGGAGUGACGGGAGCUGGAGAUGGAGUUUCUAACUGACACACCUAACUGUUGGAAAAAGAAUUUAAGAACAUCGGAAUAAAACUGUGAGACAUAAUUAUAUUCCUCAAUCAAUCUGGACCAAGAGAACAACUGUGUAACAAACAGGACUUGGGGACCUAGAAGGCAGGUCAUUCUGUGACACUGACAGAGGAUAGUACCACAAGGACUCAAGCUCAGAAAAACCAGCCAUCUUCACAAUGAACAUUCGAGGGGGUUUUCCCUCUGCAACUCUUUAUUCAUGAAUUUCUUUGAGAUUCCAGUACUGUCCUAACCACACAG